CCACUCGCCACUCUCUCUGCGCUGCGCGGGCACGAUCGAUCGACAUGGACAAUCCUCCUCCUCCUCCGGCGGCGGCGGCGGCCAACGAUGUGGCCAACUUUCUGGCGGCCGCAGCGGACAACAUCCUGCCCAAUCCUCCGGCUGCUCCGGACGAUGAUGAUGUGGCCAUGGCGUGCUGUUGCUGCCUCUCUGUCGUCGUCGCGCUGGGCUUAUCUCUGGCUCUGGCGGUGCUGUUGACGAUCCAUCCAUGGAGUCCAUGACACAUCAUCCACGGCGCGCGACGUGGCGUACCUCUCUCCUCCCCGACGUGCUCCAUCUUCAGACAUGUUUCAUUCGCUAGCAACUUCCUUGGAAUCAUCAGACAUGGGUCGUUCUCUUGCAGUGCUACUUUCUUGAGAUCGAGCGAUCUGGUAUUGUGGUCCAGCAGUAGUUUCUAGCACUUUGAUCGUUCUAAUAAACCGAUCGAGUUGGUUUCAGUUUGGUGUGUCUCGCAAACUGGUUAAGUAUUUUGCUUGGUUAAGUAGUAUUACGAGUGUCAUCUAUGUAGCUCAUUGUGGACCAGGUAAAAUCGGAUUUGUGUGCCCAGAGUGAA